rnacentral:rRNA from 1 species
CCUACGGGUGGCAGCAGUGAGGAAUAUUGGUCAAUGGGCGUAAGCCUGAACCAGCCAAGCCGCGUGAGGGAUGAAGGUUCUAUGGAUCGUAAACCUCUUUUAUAAGGGAACAAAGUGCGGGACGUGUCCCGUUCUGUAUGUACCUUAUGAAUAAGGAUCGGCUAACUCCGUGUCAGCAGCCGCGGUAAUACGGAGGAUCCGAGCGUUAUCCGGAUUUAUUGGGUUUAAAGGGUGCGUAGGCGGUCUUUUAAGUCAGCGGUGAAAGUCUGUGGCUCAACCCUAGAAUUGCCGUUGAAACUGGCAGGCUUGAGUUUGUUUGAGGCAGGCGGAAGGCGUGGUGUAGCGGUGAAAUGCUUAGAUAUCGCGCAGAACCCCGAUUGCGAAGGCAGCCUGCCGGGCCAUGACUGACGCUGAUGCACGAAAGCGUGGGGAUCGAACAGGAUUAGAUACCCUGGUAGUC